UCCCGCAGCUUCUCCUGCAGCAGCUCGUUGUGGAGGUCGUAGACGCGGAACAUCUUCUCCUCCAGCUUCUCGGCCAGGCUCGAGACCUUGCGGGGGGCGGCGGGGGAAACAGGGCCGGUUUAGUUCAGUUCGUUUACGACGGGUUUUGUUUUUUUUUUUUUUUUUUUUUGAGGCCGGGGCGGCCCCGGAGGAGGGAGCGGCGGGCCGCACGCGGCGGCGGCGGCAGCUGCUGCUCCGCGGCCUGGCGCGCCUCCCGGGAAAGCUUGGCUCCGGCGAGCACCAGCUGCAGGCUCGCGCUAGCCAAGACGCGGGCCGAGGUUUCCGAUGUUCGAAUCGAGGGCCGCGAAGUAAGCGGAUGACUUGCCAUCCAGGGCCGCUCCCGCCGCCUCCGCGCCGGGGCAGGGAAGAGGUGUCAGCGAGUCCUUCCUUGAUCAAAACAUAAAAUAAAUACGUUAAGCGGGACGCGCGCACGCUCCUCGGGUGAGGCAAAGAGCGCUCGAGCGGCGGUGGCGGCGCUCCUGGAGGAGGGGGAGAAGGAGCACGCAAAGAACAGGGGGUUUUUAUCUGCUCUCCCAACAAAUUCUCCGGCAGCCGCUUAUCGUCCGAGAGGCAGGGCCCCGGGCAGAGGGGAAACAUCCCCGCCGGGAUGGGAAGGAGGGCGGCAGGCGCGCUCCGGCAGCCGCGGCCGACGCUCGGCGCGCUAAAUACGACCACGGGCCAAAGCGAGAGGAGAACGGGAAGCGGGGAAGGCGGAAACCCCCCCACCCCGGCAGCCGACGCUCUGCCUCGUCGGGCGAGAAAGCAAAAGGAACUGCCCAGGAGGAGAGAGGAAAAGCGACCACGCGAGGAGCCUUCGCGCCGAGACGGGGGAAGCACGGGCCGGCGGGCCAAGUCGCUGUCAGCGGCUGCCUGCAGCCGCGUGGCAACGAAACGAGGAAUGACCCAGACAGGAGCCAAAAAUCAGAAGCCGGAGGAAACUUUUGCUGGCUAUUAGGUUCUCUCUGGAGGGAAUUUUAGGCCUUUCCGUUUGUUUAGCCAACAAUAAAACAGUUUAAUAACCAGAA